rnacentral:rRNA from 1 species
GAAGUUAGCCGGGGCUUCUUCUUCAGGUACCGUCAUUAUCUUCCCUGACGAAAGAGCUUUACAACCCUAAGGCCUUCAUCACUCACGCGGCAUGGCUGGAUCAGGCUUGCGCCCAUUGUCCAAUAUUCCCCACUGCUGCCUCCCGCAGGAGUCUGGACCGUAUCUCAGUUCCAGUGUGGCCGAUCAGCCUCUCAGCUCGGCUACCCAUCGUCGACUUGGUGGGCCGUUACCCCGCCAACUAUCUAAUGGGACGCGAACCCCUCUUAUACCGGAUUGCUCCUUUGACCUCAUCCCGAUGUCGGGUCGUGGUCUUAUGCGGUAUUAGCAACCGUUUCCGGUUGUUAUCCCCCUGUACAAGGCAGGUUGUUCACGCGUUACUCACCCGUUCGCCACUAAGUUAUCAACCGAAAUCAAUAACUCCGUUCGACUUGCAUGUGUUAGGCACGCCGCCAGCGUUCGUCCUGAGCCAUAAUCAAACUACUGA